GCACAAGCGGUGGAGCACGUGGUUUAAUUCGAUGCAAACCGAAGAACCUUACCUGGGUUUGACAUGUACGUGUUACUGAGGUGAAAGCUGAGGGACCACAUCUUCGGAUGAGGAGCGUACACAGGUGCUGCAUGGCUGUCGUCAGCUCGUGUCGUGAGAUGUUGGGUUAAGUCCCGCAACGAGCGCAACCCUUGCCUUUAGUUGCCAGCAGUUCGGCUGGGCACUCUAAAGGGACUGCCGGUGUUAAACCGGAGGAAGGUGGGGAUGACGUCAAGUCCUCAUGGCCUUUAUGACCAGGGCUACACACGUACUACAAUGGCCGAUACAAAGGGCAGCGACACUGCGAGGUGAAGCCAAUCCCGUAAAAUCGGUCUCAGUCCGGAUUGGAGUCUGCAACUCGACUCCAUGAAGUUGGAAUCGCUAGUAAUCGUGGAUCAGCAUGCCACGGUGAAUACGUUCCCGGGCCUU
rnacentral:rRNA from 1 species